CUCAGGAAAAAGGACUAACAAGGAUUCCCCUAGUAACGGCGAGUGAAGAGGGAAAAGCUCAAAUUUAAAAUCUGGCGGUCUCAGGCCGUCCGAGUUGUAAUCUAGAGAAGUGUUUUCCGCGCUGGACCGUGUACAAGUCCUUUGGAACAAGGCGUCAUAGAGGGUGAGAAUCCCGUCUACGACACGGACUACCAAGCGCUUUGUGAUACACUCUCAACGAGUCGAGUUGUUUGGGAAUGCAGCUCAAAAUGGGUGGUAAAUUCCAUCUAAAGCUAAAUAUGGGCGAAAGACCGAUAGCGAACAAGUACCGUGAGGGAAAGAUGAAAAGCACUUUGGAAAGAGAGUUAAACAGUACGUGAAAUUGUUGAAAGGGAAACGCUUGAAGUCAGUCGCGUCUUCAGAAAUUCAGCUGGGCUUCUGCCCUGUGUACUUUUCUGUGGGACGGGCCAGCAUCAGUUUUGGCUGCCAGAAAAAGGUGGGAGGAAGGUGGCACCUCCGGGUGUGUUAUAGCCUCCGAUCGUAUGUGGCAGCUGGGACUGAGGACCGCAGCACGCCUUCAUGGCCGGGGUUCGCCCACGUAACGUGCUUAGGAUGCUGGCGUAAUGGCUUUAAGCGACCCGUCUUGAAACACGGACCAAGGAGUCUAACAUGCCUGCGAGUAUUUGGGUGGCAAACCCAUAUGCGCAAUGAAAGUGAACGGUUGGGACUUCUGUCAUGGAAGGCACCGACGCCCGGACCAGACCUAUUGUGACGGAUCCGAGGUAGAGCAUGUAUGUUGGGACCCGAAAGAUGGUGAACUAUGCCUGAGUAGGGUGAAGCCAGAGGAAACUCUGGUGGAGGCUCGUAGCGAUUCUGACGUGCAAAUCGAUCGUCGAACUUGGGUAUAGGGGCGAAAGACUAAUCGAACCAUCUAC
rnacentral:rRNA from 1 species